rnacentral:rRNA from 1 species
CUCCACGUCCAUACCAGGAUGAAAGCACCCAUUCUCAUCAGAUCACAGAAGUUAAGCAUCGUCAGGCUGGCAUAGUACUUGGAUAGGGAACCGCCUGGGAACUCCCGGUGGCGUGGAGU